rnacentral:rRNA from 1 species
UACGUAGGGUGCGAGCGUUGUUCGGAAUUACUGGGCGUAAAGGGCUCGUAGGCGGCCAACUAAGUCAGACGUGAAAUCCCUCGGCUUAACCGGGGAACUGCGUCUGAUACUGGAUGGCUUGAGAUUGGGAGAGGGAUGCGGAAUUCCAGGUGUAGCGGUGAAAUGCGCAGAUAUCGGGAGGAACACCGAUGGCGAAGGCAGCUCGCUGGGACGGUACUGACGCUGAGGCGCGAAAGCGUGGGGAGCAAACAGG